rnacentral:lncRNA from 1 species
GCUAUAGAUAUGAUUUGUUUUGGAUGGUAAUUGGGAUAUGAUGUUCGACUUGAGAUUGGCAGAAUGUGAUACAAAAUUAUAUUUUAAGAGUGUGAUAUAGGUUGGCUUUACCAUUAUAUAUAAUUCUAGGUAUUAUCACUUUGUAUUUAUAUCAUUUAAUGAUAAUGCAUCGUAUUAUAUCUUGUGAUAUAAUUAUCCCAGCCAGCAGCUUCCUCCCAACCAGCACAAAGCCUCCCUACCAGCAUCAUAUAUUUUUGAUUUAUUUAGAUCAUAUAUUGUAUAUGAUGUUUAAUUUCAGACUGGAAGAAUGUCAAAUAUAUUGAUACAUAUCAUGGAUUGAGAUACAAAGUUUGAUUUGUGAUACAGGAUUAUAUUUUUAGAUGAAUUUACAUAUAUGGAUUCUAUUUUUGGACAUUUUGUGGCAAUGUAUAGAGUGAUACAAGAUGGAUUUAUACGUAUGGAUUCUAUUUAUCUUAUUUUGUGAUAAUGUAUUAU